AUUGAACGCUGGCGGCAUGCCUUACACAUGCAAGUCGAACGGCAGCACGGGGCAACCUGGUGGCGAGUGGCGAACGGGUGAGUAAUGCAUCGGAACGUACCUUUCAGUGGGGGAUAACGUAGCGAAAGUUACGCUAAUACCGCAUAUUCUGUGAGCAGGAAAGCAGGGGAUCGCAAGACCUUGCGCUGAUUGAGCGGCCGAUGUCAGAUUAGCUAGUUGGUGAGGUAAAGGCUCACCAAGGCGACGAUCUGUAGCGGGUCUGAGAGGAUGAUCCGCCACGCUGGAACUGAGACACGGUCCAGACUCCGACGGGAGGCAGCAGUGGGGAAUUUUGGACAAUGGGGGCAACCCUGAUCCAGCCAUGCCGCGUGAGUGAAGAAGGCCUUCGGGUUGUAAAGCUCUUUCGGCCGGGAAGAAAUCGCACGGGCUAAUACCCUGUGUGGAUGACGGUACCGGAAUAAGAAGCACCGGCUAACUACGUGCCAGCCGCCGCAGUAAUAC
rnacentral:rRNA from 1 species